rnacentral:tRNA from 1 species
GCCUUUGUGGUAUAAUAGCCAGCACACUCGGCGCGUGUUCGAGAGGUCCGAGGUUCGAAUCCCGACGAGGGCA